rnacentral:rRNA from 1 species
CGGGGUGGAGUAAUGUCUGGGAAACUGCCUGAUGAGGGGGGAUAACUACUGGAAACGGUAGCUAAUACCGCAUAAUGUCGCAAGACCAAAGAGGGGGACCUUCGGGCCUCUUGCCAUCGGAUGUGCCCAGAUGGGAUUAGCUAGUAGGUGGGGUAACGGCUCACCUAGGCGACGAUCCCUAGCUGGUCUGAGAGGAUGACCAGCCACACUGGAACUGAGACACGGUCCAG